CUGAAUGUGCCAGAUCCCCUCUGGCCUCUGAAGCUAAGCAG
rnacentral:rRNA from 1 species